GAUGAAGAACGCAGCGAAAUGCGAUAAGUAAUGUGAAUUGCAGAAUUCAGUGAAUCAUCGAAUCUUUGAACGCACCUUGCGCCCUUUGGACAUUCCGAAGGGCAUGCCUGUUUGAGUAUCAUGAACACCUCAACUCUCACGGCUUGUCCGUGAUGAGCUUGGACUUUUGGGGUCUUGCCGGCCUGUGGUCGGCUCCUCUCAAAUGGAUCAGCUUGCCAGUGUUUGGUGGCAUCACAGGUGUGAUAACUAUCUGCGCUUGUGGUUUUCCAUCAGAUAACCUUCAGUGAUAUGGAGGUUCGCUGGAGCUCACAAAUGUCUCUCCUUAGUGAGGACAGCUCUUUGAACGUUUGAUCUCAAAUCAGGUAGGACUACCCGCUGAACUUAAGCAUAUCAAUAAGCGGAGGA
rnacentral:misc_RNA from 1 species